GACUACAUGAAGCUGGAAUCGCUAGUAAUCGCAAAUCAGAAUGUUGCGGUGAAUACGUUCCCGGGUCUUGUACACACCGCCCGUCACACCAUGGGAGUCGGAUAUGCCCGAAGCCAGUGACCUAACCGUAAGGAAGGAGCUGUCGAAGGUGGAGCCGAUAACUGGGGUGAAGUCGUAACAAGGUAAC
rnacentral:rRNA from 1 species